AAGAGUCACUUAAGUUGGGUGCGUAGAACAAAAGAUAUGACCAUGAGAUAAAUAUGGAUAGAAUUGAAUUUUUAAAAAUCGAGUGACGGAAGAGGAUGAGGUGACAAUGAAAAUUGGAAGGAAAUAAUCACUCUUUCCAAGGGAGGCAACACACAAAGGAUGAAAAAGUCCUGAGUUCUUGAAUCAUUUAAGAACUUAGG
rnacentral:lncRNA from 1 species